rfam:Rattus norvegicus chromosome 9, whole genome shotgun sequence.
GGAGAUAUGGCUCAGAGGUUAAGAGCACUGUCUGCUCUUCCAGAGGUCCUGAGUUCAAUUCUCAGCAACCACA